rnacentral:rRNA from 2 species
GGGGAAACCCAGUGCAAUCCGUUGCACUAUCGUUAACUGAAUACAUAGGUUAACGAGGCGAACCGGGGGAACUGAAACAUCUAAGUACCCCGAGGAAAAGAAAUCAACCGAGAUUCCCCCAGUAGCGGCGAGCGAACGGGGAGCAGCCCGGAGUCUGAAUCAGCUUGUGUGUUAGUGGAACGGUCUGGAAAGUCCGACGGUACAGGGUGAUAGUCCCGUACACGAAAGCACACAUGCUGUGAACUCGAAGAGUAGGGCGGGACACGUGGUAUCCUGUCUGAAUAUGGGGGGACCAUCCUCCAAGGCUAAAUACUCCUGACUGACCGAUAGUGAACCAGUACCGUGAGGGAAAGGCGAAAAGAACCCCGGCGAGGGGAGUGAAAAAGAACCUGAAACCGUGUACGUACAAGCAGUGGGAGCCUCUUUAUGGGGUGACUGCGUACCUUUUGUAUAAUGGGUCAGCGACUUAUAUUCUGUAGCAAGGUUAACCGUAUAGGGGAGCCGAAGGGAAACCGAGUCUUAACUGGGCGUUAAGUUGCAGGGUAUAGACCCGAAACCCGGUGAUCUAGCCAUGGGCAGGUUGAAGGUUGGGUAACACUAACUGGAGGACCGAACCGACUAAUGUUGAAAAAUUAGCGGAUGACCUGUGGCUGGGGGUGAAAGGCCAAUCAAACCGGGAGAUAGCUGGUUCUCCCCGAAAGCU